UUUCCAUCUUCUUCACUAGCCACCAUUUCUCAAAAAGGAGAAGAUCUUGCAAUUAUCAAAGGGAAGCAAAGAGGUUUCAAGAAUAAUUAAAGCCAGUCAAACUUUGACUGUUGAUUUUUGUGUAAUCAAGAGUUUAGAGAAGAAGUUGCAGGUACAAGUUCUUGAUGUGCAUGGAAAUCAUAAGCAUCCGGAUGGGAGUUUUAGUACACGAGUACUUUCUUAUUUAAGUUAUCUUGAAUUUUAUAUUUGACUUUACUUGACCAAUGGGGUCAAGGUUUGACUUUUGAAGAUGGGACUAGUAUGGGAUAGUCUCGGAGUUUGUAAUUCAUUGACAAACUUUCUUAUUUCCGUUGUAUUAAAGUAUUUUCAGUUUAUUUUAAAAGACUUCCGCUGUA